GUCGCUGCUGUCCCCGUGGGCUCCGUCAGUCUGCAGGGCAGCUGUCCCUUUAGAGAGAAGGAAGCUAGCCGCUCCUAGCAGUGGACACAGCAGUGUCCUUCAGCCUGGAGUCUCCUCUCCCCUCCUCUGGGAGCCACCCACAGACCGAGGUCCCAGAUGUAGGCUGUGAUCCCCACUCCGCACUGACUGCCCUGAGGUCACCUGACCGCGUCCCCUCGGGACACCGGUGCCCCGUUCUGUAAAGGCCGCGGGAUGUCUGAACCAGCCCUGCCCACACGAAUCACUCCCAGCUACUAAACAUGUCUUCUGAUGAAGAAAAGAACGUCAAACUGCCUUUCAGACUUCUUAUUCUUGUCAAACCACGCCCCUGCAGCAGCCCGAGGACAGCCGGCCUCGGCGAGUGCUGGCAGAAAAGAUUUAACCGUGGCGGCUCCACGUCCAGGCGGCAGCUCCACGUCCAGGCGGCAGCGUCUGCUGUUGCGGUGUUUCUGCUUUGUGGUGGCCUGGAUUUCCUUCAGUGACAGACGGUGCCUGCUGGAUGUACAGCUUCUUCCUGAGACCCUCCGGCACUUUACACUGUUGGAAUUCUUACUCAUUCAAAAGAAGAAAGUUUGUUCUAGGCCAUUUCGUUUGUCUUUCUGUGUGUCUGAAUUCUGAGUCCGCUGCAACGGGGCUUUGCUCGACCGUGCUGGGGACAGAGCCACAUAGUGACCGCAAACGCCUGCCCUGAUCUGCAGGCUGCCACUCAGUGCCACCUGCAUUCCUGGGCUGAGGAGUCUGACCCUGAUCCCGCCCAAGGCCACACGUCCAUGAGAAACGCAGCCCCAGGUUUUGUCUUCGAACCCUUCUAUCACCAUGCAACUGUGUGUGUGUGCUGAGAACAGCUGAGGUCCGCUCUCUCGGCCAAGUCCGAGGAUGCAGUACAGUCUCACUAACCACAGUCACGGAGCCGCCCACCAGAUCACCAGAAAUUAUUCACCCUCUACCUGAGAGUCCACACCUUUGACCAACGUCUCCCACUUCCCUCGACCGCCCAGCUCCUGGCGACCACAACUCUACUAUUUUUACAAGCUCAACCUUAUUGUUGUUAUUAUUUUUUAAAGAUUCUACACAUAAAUGAGAUUAUACAGUAUUUAUUAUUCUCUGCCUGGUUUAUUGCACUUUCGAUAA